rnacentral:lncRNA from 1 species
CCUGACGUACAGCAGAUGCGCAUCCGCAAUUACCGGAACCGUAUCAAGCUGUAGCAAUAAGGAAUCGAUCGAUUACUAUCAGCGAUAUGGCAACGAGUAUAAAUUGACGGGUCGUUUGAUGUAGAGGCCCAUAUUAUAUCUCCUGUCCAGCUCCAAAAUGAAAUUCUUCGCGAUCCUAGUCCUGAUUUUCGUGUGCCUCGCUGUCGCUGCGGAGGCCCAGACGACGAAAAAGCCCAAACCGACGACUGCGCCCAAGCCGACUGCUGGACCUAAGCCAUCUGCUAAGCC